rnacentral:rRNA from 1 species
UACGUAGGUGGCGAGUGUUGUCCGGAAUCAUUGGGCGUAAAGGGAGCGCAGGCGGGAUUGCAAGUCUUUCCUAAAAGUGCGGGGCUCAACCCCGUGAUGGGAAGGAAACUGCAGUUCUUGAGUGCAGGAGAGGAAAGCGGAAUUCCCGGUGUAGCGGUGAAAUGCGUAGAGAUCGGGAGGAACACCAGUGGCGAAGGCGGCUUUCUGGACUGCAACUGACGCUGAGGCUCGAAGGCCGGGGGAGCGAACG